rnacentral:rRNA from 1 species
GAUGAACGCUGGCGGCGUGCCUAAUACAUGCAAGUCGAACGAAGAGACGGUUAGCUUGCUCCACUGACGUUAGCGGCGGACGUGAGAGGAACACAUUGAUCACCUCCCUAUGAGACUGGGAUGACUUCGUGAAACCAGUACUAAUACCGGAUAAUAUAUUGAACCUCAUGGUUCAAUAGUUACAGCCGGGUUUGCUGUCACUUAUAGAUGUCUCCUGGCCGCAUUGGCUAGUUGCUAAGAUGACGACUUCCCAAGGCAACCAUGCGUAGACGACCUGAGAGGGUGAUCGGCCACAUGAGAACUGAGACACGGACCAGACGCCUACGGGAGGCAGCAGUAGGGAACCUGACGCAAUGGGCGAAAGCUUGACGGAGCAACGGAGCGUGAGUGAUGAAGGUGCUCGGAGCGUGAAACCGUGCUAUUAGGGAAGAACAACUUUGUACGGAACUAUGGCCGUCUUGACGGUACCUAAUCAGAAAGCACCGGCUAACUACGUG